AAUUUUAUGUCUUGAUUUUUUUAAAGAUAUCAUAACUCUUGUUAGAGAAAAUUUUAAAUAGUCUAAAUUAUAUUUUGUAUGUUAAAUGAAAAUAAAUAAUAUAAAACAUGUUAAUAGUACCAACCGACAAAAGAUAAGCUGUCUUUUUGACAUUCCACAAUUAGCUUCCUCAGAAAAAAAAUGUUCAUCUGUGGAUCAAAAUGUUCGGUAAACAUAGAUCUGAUGAAACUUGCUCCAUCAACACAGAUCGUUAAAGGUUGAUUCUGUCAGUGUCGUCUAUGUCUGAAGAAGAUCAGAAAAGUCAUAUCUCAAGACAAAAAAAAGAUCUGGAGCUAAAGUAUACAGAAAGAUCGAUCUCUUCAGAAUAUGUUUCAUGUCACCCGAUGAGUUAUGCAGUUAAAAGCUUGUGGAUCAAUGAUCGGGAGAAAAUUGCUUACUCAAUACCUUCAACUUCUUGUUCUAAAGAUAAGUCUUUAAUUUUUCUCACAUUUUUAAAGUUGUAUGCUAUAGUAUAAUAUCCGUUCAUAUUCAAAUUUUGUGUGUUUGAUCUCUGUUUGAUCUUACUGAAUGGUUUGAAAAUUUGUAUCAAUACAUACUUGAGGACACAUGCUUUCGUACUUUAGUUGAUUUAUUAUUUAAUCAAAGUUUCGAGAUUGAAUAUAUUAGUGUCUGUAUUCAAGUGUUUGAUUAUUGGAUGUUGGAAUCUUUACUAAAUUACAAUAUAAUAAUGUUGGUAUCAAUAGCAAUUACUUUUUAUUUGUUGAUUAAAAGGAACCCUCUCAAAGCGUUAUGUGAACUUCAUGAUUUGUUUGUUUUUGAUUGCUAACACUCACUGUAUUUUUGUCGGUUUAUUUUAAUGUUCCUAUGAUUGUAUGAAUAUUGAUAUCUACAUUUAAGAUCUAUGUCAUGAACUUUUAUUUUUUAGUUUAUUAGAUUAUGAUAAUCAGAAACGGUAAAAGGAUCUCCAAUCUUAAAAUUUCUAAUUGAUAUAUCAUUUGUUAUUCAGUACAUAGCUCUCAUUUAUUUUCAAUAUAGUUUGAUUAUUGUUUCAUGAACCUUUAUUCUCUGGUUUGUUUCAGGAGUAAAUGAAAAUGUCACAAUCUAUACCAAACAAAGGUUCCUCUUAUUAGCUCUCCUUUUGGUCGUAACUCUUUUCCAGGUUCACUAACUUGGAAGUUUUCAAUAGUCUUGCAUUCGCCAACAAUGCAUUGAUCCCCCAAAGAUUUCAAAUUGUUAUUUCUACAAGUAGCAUGAACUUUGAUACCCUGGAAGAAAUUUUAAAGAAUAACACAUUAUUCACGAUUUAAGUAAAACUAAUCAUUACUCUUGAAAAUUUUAAAUUAUAGCAGUAUUACCUUUUUGUCUGUCAAUAUGAUCUCUAAAGUCUCACCAAAUCCGGCUUUGAAUGGUUUGCAGACGUGUAUGACUUUGGUUUGCAGACCAGUUUUUUCUUAGAAGACGUUAUAUGAGAAUUGUUUUGAAAUCUACGUGAUUGAUCCAAGGUUAAUAUGCUGUAUAUAUAGGAAAAAGGACUGUGGGUUCAAGAUAUUCCAAAUCAAUACUGUUAGUAUAUAAGGCGUGAGUUUAGUAAAAUCAUUACUCUUGUUUUGAUUGGUUGUUAUUUAUAUUUUGAAGAUAUGAAAAUAAAAAAUUCUACCUGGUAGUUAUGCUUCGGUAUAUUCUUUAUUGUUAUCUAAGGAACCUCCAAAAAUUUAGAUCAUUUUCUUAAAAGAUUGGUACAAACGAUUUCGAUAUUGUUAGGUAGGUUCUUCCGACAAUCAAGUUUAUUUGCCAAGUUUUGAGGUUUUGGUUUAAUGGAUUAUAUUUUUGGUAUUUGAUGUGGGAAAUUUUGGGAUUUAAAUAAUUUGGUCAACUAUAUUUGAAUAAUGCAACAUAUAGGAUUUCUGGUGCAAUAGUUUGUAAGCAAAACCUCUGUUUGGAAGUGACGACUGGUAAAAACAAUGAUAUUAACAUAUAUGUAUUGUUUUUAUUUCAAAGUUUGCAGAAUCCAAUAAACGUUCAAGCUUGGUAUUCCUGGAACAUCAUUCUCAAUAUACAAAGAGAUGGUACAUCUAAUCUAUAAGAAAUGAAAAUUAGUGUUGAUGCAAUUGAAGUUUGUUUAAAAUGUAGAUGUUACUUUGUUAUUUAAUUAUACGUUAUGUUUCAUUAGGAAGACAUUAUGUUACUUUUAAAAUAAAAGGAUUACGUAGCUGUAAUUUAGGUGUUUCUGUUUGAAUAAAAAGAAUUUCGAAAAUACUGAUUUUAAUUAAAAGCAUAUGUUUAAAUAAAGUUAAUGGCAGUGUAUUGUAAAUACUUUAAAACUCUAAGGUGAUCUAAAAAAAGGCCCUUCAAUUUUAAUAGUAUUGAUAAUGAUAUUUCAGUCUUUUGAUUUUGAACCUGUAUUUACAAAUGCAACCAAAACAAAUCAUGGAUUUGAAUUACAAUAACCAAAAAUUAUUCAUUAAUUAAAUGCUCAAAUUUGAAAAUCUAUCAAUAUUGAGAAAACAUUUUAAUAUGCACAAAUGAAAUUUAUUCUUAAAUAGUUCAUAAAAUCAAAAUUUUAGUGGUCAUACUUUAUUAGACACAUAAAAUUCAUUAAGAACUAUAUCUUUACGAAAGCUCAUUAUACAUAAACAAUAUUUUUAUUAUAGAUAAAUCAAUAGAAAAACAGUUUUAGUUGCGCAUUUAUUCUUUAAAAAAUAAUUAUUCAAAAUUGCAAUAUAACAGUGUAUUGCAACAAUAUGAUUACAACCCAUCGAGAUUGUAUUAAGUUCGACCACAUUAUAUAUCAUUUUCUAAGAAAUCAUCAUUUAUUUGAGGUCAUGUGUUUGUUUUUUUUUUAAUUUUGUUAGAUUCAAAUCAUUUUCCAUAAAGAUUAUUUCCAGCUCCAAUUGAUAAUAGCGGGUUUUUUUUUUGAUUUUUACUGAGUUCUAUCAAGUUUUUCACUAAAUUUGAACCAAACUAUAUAUAAGAUGCCGUGCUUACUAGUUCGAAUAAGGAUCUGGGUCAGAUAUGAAUACAUUGCUUGAAACUCAAACAGUAUAAUAGAACAAAAUUUUAAAUUAUUUAUUUUCUAAUUAAAAGUUGUAAAGUCAUACAAAUUCUUAUCAAAAUGAGAGAAAAAAAGAUAUUCACCGAUUAUAAGAACGAGUCAAAAAUAGUAGUAGCUUCUAAAUCGAACAAGGACAAAAAAUAAUGUAGAUAGAUGGUUAGGACUUAGAACUAUGAUAAAAUAUAUGACAAAGAAACUCUUCAACUUAAAAUAGAUAAUCUAUAUUGUUACUAUUUUUCACUAAUGUAACACACUGUUUUAAAUAUAAAAUAUCUAUACUACAAAGCACACAUAUCAUUUUAAAUUUAUUUCGAACAAAUACUACAUUUUGAAAGAAAACACAAAUGAUAAAAAUUUAGAAACUCAUCUGUUAAAAUCUGAAACAAAAAAGAAAUGAUAUUUUUAAAUUAAUUUUAGAUCAUUAAUAA